UUUGUCUGAAUGAUGAAACCAUACCGGAUGUAAAUGAGCUACGGCUCUGCUUGUCCGAGAGCGCAUAACCUCGUGUGGAUGUUUCCGUUGCCUUCCUUCUGACCUCCUU
rnacentral:snoRNA from 1 species